AACGAACGCUGGCGGCAUGCCUAACACAUGCAAGUCGAACGAGACCUUCGGGUCUAGUGGCGCACGGGUGCGUAACGCGUGGGGACCUGCCCUUAGGUUCGGAAUAACUCCCCGAAAGGGGUGCUAAUACCGGAUAAUGUCUUCGGACCAAAGAUUUAUCGCCUUUGGAUGGGCCCGCGUUGGAUUAGCUAGUUGGUAGGGUAAAAGCCUACCAAGGCGACGAUCCAUAGCUGGUCUGAGAGGAUGAUCAGCCACACUGGGACUGAGACACGGCCCAGACUCCUACGGGAGGCAGCAGUGGGGAAUAUUGGACAAUGGGCGAAAGCCUGAUCCAGCAAUGCCGCGUGAGUGAUGAAGGCCUUAGGGUUGUAAAGCUCUUUUACCCGGGAUGAUAAUGACAGUACCGGGAGAAUAAGCUCCGGCUAACUCCG
rnacentral:rRNA from 1 species